AGAGAUUUAAGUUAAAAAAACUAAUAGCCUUCAAAGCUUUAAUUGAUAUUUUAAAUCAAUCUCUA
rnacentral:tRNA from 1 species